rnacentral:rRNA from 1 species
AUUGAACGCUGGCGGCAGGCCUAACACAUGCCAGUCGAACGAGCGGCGGACGGGUGAGUAAUGUCUGGGAAACUGCCCGAUGGAGGGGGAUAACUACUGGAAACGGUAGCUAAUACCGCAUACCAUCGGAUGUGCCCAGAUGGGAUUAGCUUGUAGGUUAGGUAACGGCUCACCGAGGCGACGAUCCCUAGCUGGUCGGAGAGGAUGACGAGCCAGACGGGGACUGAGAAAAGGUCAAGACGCCUAAGGGAGGCAGGAGUGGGGAAUAUGGCACAAUGGGCGCAAGCCUGAUGCAGCCAUGCGGAGUGUAUGAAGAAGGCGUGAGGGGUGUAAAGUACUUUCAGCGGGGAGGCGUGACCCGCAGAAGAAGCAAAGGCUAACUCCGUGCCAGCAGCAGCGGUAAUUC